GUGCUUAGUGAGUGGUAAAUCUCUUCAACAGAAGUUAAAUGUAAUCGGUCACACAAACCAGGAAUUUUCCUUAGGAUACAGAGAACAAACAUGGGCACCACUCCAGUUCCAAUGGCAGAGAAAGAGCAGGGAAGAGUAUCAUGUCAACUCUAGAGUUUUAACCCAUGUGACUGGAGCUGAAGCUGUGGUGAUGCUUCUUUAAUUAAGGCAUUUCUCACAAGGGCUUUGAGAUGCAGGAGAAAAAUAAUAAGGCAAGCCAACAUCAGGACAUGCAAGUAGCUAAGGAUCACGAUCUGCUGGUUCUCAGAAUAGCAAGGAAAAUGCAGUAAAGCUUUGAAAGGGCUUUGAACAUCAGAGAAAUCUUUGGCAAUAGCUGAAGUCCACAGUAUUUCUGAGUUAUGUGAACCUAAAGCAGAAGAGGAGAGGAACUGCACUGAAGAACUGAAGGAUUAAAAAUAGCCUGAGAGAUCAGAGCUGCUCAGAGGUUCCAGGCAGCAGGACACAUCCCCCAGAAAGGUAUGUGGGGAACAGGAGCAUGUUCUGAUUUGCAGUCAGCAGGACAAGCAGAGCAUCCUUGUGCCACCCUGACGGGACACCCCAAAGGAA